rnacentral:tRNA from 2 species
GGGCGGAUGGUUUAGUGGUAUAAUUUUCCCUUAGCAUCAUCUGACCAACGAGUCGGAUAACCGCAUGGGAAAGGUCCGGGGUUCGAUUCCCCGUUCGUCCA